UGACGUCAAGUCCUCAUGGCCCUUAUGCCCAGGGCUACACACGUGCUACAAUGGGCGGUACAAAGGGUAGCGAUGCCGCGAGGCGAAGCCAAUCCCAAAAAGCCGUCCUCAGUUCGGAUUGGAGUCUGCAACUCGACUCCAUGAAGCCGGAAUCGCUAGUAAUCGCGGAUCAGCAUGCCGCGGUGAAUACGUUCCCGGGGCUU
rnacentral:rRNA from 1 species